GCUUAUCACCAUUCCAGAUUGAAUAUACCCGAUCUCGUCUGAUCUCGGAAGUCAAGCAAUCUCGGGCUUGGGUUAAUACUUGGAUGGGU
rnacentral:rRNA from 1 species